AGUUUGAUCCUGGCUCAGAACGAACGCUGGCGGCAUGCCUAACACAUGCAAGUCGAACGAAGGCUUCGGCCUUAGUGGCGCACGGGUGCGUAACGCGUGGGAAUCUGCCCUUAGGUUCGGAAUAACAGUUAGAAAUGACUGCUAAUACCGGAUGAUGACGUAAGUCCAAAGAUUUAUCGCCUGAGGAUGAGCCCGCGUAGGAUUAGCUAGUUGGUGUGGUAAAGGCGCACCAAGGCGACGAUCCUUAGCUGGUCUGAGAGGAUGAUCAGCCACAUUGGGACUGAGACACGGCCCAAACUCCUACGGGAGGCAGCAGUGGGGAAUAUUGGACAAUGGGCGCAAGCCUGAUCCAGCCAUGCCGCGUGAGUGAUGAAGGCCUUAGGGUUGUAAAGCUCUUUCACCGAUGAAGAUAAUGACGGUAGUCGGAGAAGAAGCCCCGGCUAACUUCGUGCCAGCAGCCGCGGUAA
rnacentral:rRNA from 1 species